rnacentral:rRNA from 1 species
UACGGAGGGGGCUAGCGUUGUUCGGAAUUACUGGGCGUAAAGCGCACGUAGGCGGUUUUGUAAGUUAGAGGUGAAAGCCUGGGGCUCAACUCCAGAAUUGCCUUUAAGACUGCAUCACUUGAACACGGGAGAGGUGAGUGGAAUUCCGAGUGUAGAGGUGAAAUUCGUAGAUAUUCGGAAGAACACCAGUGGCGAAGGCGGCUCACUGGACCGUUGUUGACGCUGAGGUGCGAAAGCGUGGGGAGCAAACAGG